rnacentral:rRNA from 1 species
UACGUAGGGGGCAAGCGUUGUCCGGAAUCAUUGGGCGUAAAGCGCGUGUAGGCGGCCUUGUAAGUCCGUUCUGAAAGCCCGGGGCUCAACCCCGGGAGGCGGAUGGAUACUGCAAGGCUCGAGUCGGGAAGAGGCAAGUGGAAUUCCCGGUGUAGCGGUGAAAUGCGCAGAUAUCGGGAGGAACACCAAUGGCGAAGGCAGCUUGCUGGGACGGUACUGACGCUGAGACGCGAAAGCGUGGGGAGCAAACAGG